rnacentral:precursor_RNA from 1 species
GAUAAGCGAUAUUCUAGUAUCAAGUUGUUUACGUAUCUUGACUAGAUUAUCACUUAUCCU